rnacentral:rRNA from 1 species
AACUGAAACAUCUAAGUACCUGCAGGAGAAGAAAACAAAAGUGAUUCCCCCAGUAGCGGCGAGCGACCGGGGAAAAGCCCAAACCGUUAUUGUUUCGGCAUUAACGGGGUAGUAGGACUGCAAGCUUGAUGAAAUAAAUGAAAUGGAACACCUUGGAAAAUGUGAUCACAGAGGGUGAUAAUCCCGUACAUGCAAGUUUAUGAAUCAUAGCAGACUCCUGAGUAAGUCGGGACACGUGUAAUCCUGACCGAAUCCGCCGGGACCAUCCGGCAAGGCUAAAUACUCCUGAGAGACCGAUAGUGAACCAGUACCGUGAGGGAAAGGUGAAAAGCACUUCGAACAGAAGAGUGAAAUAGUCCCUGAACCCAUACGCCUACAAGCUGUCGGAGCCGCUUCGUGCGGUGACGGCGUGCCUUUUGCAUAAUGAGCCUACGAGUUACUCAUCACCAGCGAGGUUAAGUACUUCAGGUACGUAAGCCGAAGCGAAAGCGAGUCUGAAUAGGGCGUCAAGUUGGUGGUGGUAGACGCGAAACCUUAGUGAUCUACCCAUGGGCAGGGUGAAGGUUUGGUAACACAAACUGGAGGCCCGAACCGGUAAACGUUGAAAAGUUUUCGGAUGACCUGUGGGUAGGGGUGAAAGGCCAAUCAAACUGGGAAAUAGCUCGUACUCUCCGAAAUGCAUUUAGGUGCAGCCUCUGUUGUUUUGUUCUAGAGGUAGAGCUACUGAUUGGAUGCGAGGGCUUCACCGCCUAUCAAAUCCGGCCAAACUCCGAAUGCUAGAACAUGAAGACAGGGAGUGAGCCAGCGGGUGCUAAGGUCCGUUGACGAAAGAGGGAGAACUCAGACCAUCAGCUAAGGUCCCCAAUUGUAUGCUAAGUUGGAAUUAAAACGGGGUGGGACUGCUUAGACAGCUAGGAUGUUGGCUUGGAAGCAGCCAUUCAUUUAAAGAGUGCGUAACAGCUCACUAGUCGAGCGGUCCUGCAUGGAUAAUACGCGGGCAUAAGCAUAUAACCGAAGCUAUGGGAUUGUAGAUGAUACAAUCGGUAGGAGAGCAUUCCAUUCAGCGUAGAAGCAGUAGCGUGAGGUAUUGUGGAGCGGAUGGAAAAGCAAAUGUAGGCAUAAGUAACGAUAAUGCGGGUGAGAACCCCGCACGCCGAAAGAUCAAGGAUUCCCCGGCAAUGUCAAUCAUCCGGGGGUAAGUCGGAUCCUAAGGGUAAGCCGAGUGGCGAUCCCGAUGGCAAACAGGUUAAUAUUCCUGUACUGAUCAUAACUGCGAUGCAGCGACGCAGAGGUGACACUGCUGCGUACUGACGGAAUAGUACGUUGAAACCCGUAUUCUUUGAUACCGGUAGUGAAGCACGCCGGUAGAGAUGAAAGGUGAUAGUACCGCAAUGCUUCGGUUGCGCGGAUAACGCAGGUAAGCUGACUGCCAAGAAAACCUGCUAAGCUUCAGGUAAUGAUCAUCCGUACUGUAAACGGACACACGUGAUCAGGUAGAAAAUACUAAGGCGCUCGAGAGAUUCAUGGUUAAGGAACUAGGCAAAAUGGUCCUGUAACUUCGGGAUAAAGGACGCUCUUGUGAAAGAGCCGCAGAUAAUAGGCCCAGGCGACUGUUUACCAAAAACACAUGGCUAUGCUAAUUCGCAAGAAGAUGUAUAUGGCCUGACACCUGCCCGGUGCCGGAAGGUUAAGAGGAGAGCUCAGAGGCAACUCGAAGGUUUGAAUUGAAGCCCCGGUAAACGGCGGCCGUAACUAUAACGGUCCUAAGGUAGCGAAAUUCCUUGUCGGGUAAGUUC